UACGGUGAAUACGUUCCCGGGACCUUGCACACACCGCCCGUCAAGCCAUGGAAGCCGGGGGGGACCUGAAGUCGGUAACCGUAAGGAGCCGCCUAGGGUAAAACUGGGUGACUGGGGCUAAGUCGUAACAAGGGUACC
rnacentral:rRNA from 1 species